UGGAUCCAGACUUUGAUCAUGGCUCAGGAUGAACGCUAGCGACAGGCUUAACACAUGCAAGUCGAGGGGCAGCAUGGUUUGUAGCAAUACAAACUGAUGGCAACCGGCGCACGGGUGAGUAACGCGUAUGCAACUUACCUAUCAGAGGGGGAUAGCCCGGCGAAAGUCGGAUUAAUACCCCAUAAAACAGGGGUCCCGCAUGGGAAUAUUUGUUAAAGAUUGAUUGCUGAUAGAUAGGCAUGCGUUCCAUUAGGCAGUUGGCGGGGUAACGGCCCACCAAACCGACGAUGGAUAGGGGUUCUGAGAGGAAGGUCCCCCACAUUGGUACUGAGACACGGACCAAACUCCUACGGGAGGCAGCAGUGAGGAACAUUGGUCAAUGGCCGAGAGGCUGAACCAGCCAAGUCGCGUGAAGGAAGAAGGAUCUAUGGUUUGUAAACUUCUUUUAUAGGGGAAUAAAGUGAGGGACGUGUCCCUUUUUGUAUGUACCCUAUGAAUAAGCAUCGGCUAACUCCGUGCCAGCAGCCGCGGUAAUACGGAGGAUGCGAGCGUUAUCCGGAUUUAUUGGGUUUAAAGGGUGCGUAGGUUGUUUUUUAAGUCAGCGGUGAAAGUUUGUGGCUUAACCAUAAAAUUGCCGUUGAAACUGGGGAACUUGAGUGUGUUUGAGGUAGGCGGAAUGCGUGGUGUAGCGGUGAAAUGCAUAGAUAUCACGCAGAACUCCAAUUGCGAAGGCAGCUUACUAAACCAUAACUGACACUGAAGCACGAAAGCGUGGGGAUCAAACAGGAUUAGAUACCCUGGUAGUCCACGCAGUAAACGAUGAUUACUAGGAGUUUGCGAUAGACAGUAAGCUCUACAGCGAAAGCGUUAAGUAAUCCACCUGGGGAGUACGCCGGCAACGGUGCAACUCAAAGGAAUUGACGGA
rnacentral:rRNA from 1 species